CCUACGGGUGGCAGCAGUCGAGAAUCAUUCACAAUGGGGGAAACCCUGAUGGUGCGACGCCGCGUGGGGGAAUGAAGGUCUUCGGAUUGUAAACCCCUGUCAUGUGGGAGCAAAUUAAAAAGAUAGUACCACAUGAGGAAGAGACGGCUAACUCUGUGCCAGCAGCUGCGGUAAUACAGAGGUGUCAAGCGUUGUUCGGAAUCACUGGGCGUAAAGCGUGCGUAGGCUGUUUCGUAAGUCGUGUGUGAAAGGCGCGGGCUCAACCCGCGGAUGGCACAUGAUACUGCGAGACUAGAGUAAUGGAGGGGGAACCGGAAUUCUCGGUGUAGCAGUGAAAUGCGUAGAUAGCGAGAGGAACACUCGUGGCGAAGGCGGGUUCCUGGACAUUAACUGACGCUGAGGCACGAAGGCCAGGGGAGCGAAAGGGAUUAGAUACCCGGGUAGUC
rnacentral:rRNA from 1 species